CUCAGUGGGAUGCUGACUGUGGAUACUGUUUGACCUUCACAGUUCUAACACAUGAAACUCUAAAUCUUCUAUUAUGAGUAUCUUAUGACGACAUUAUACGCAGUGCAAUAGUUUUACCUAGUUUUCCUUCAUUUUGAACCAUCUGCCUGCUUCAGACAAAGGUUGCAGUUUAUGAUGGUGUUUAUUUAAUGUGUCCUAUGUUAUAUUCAUGUUCAUCUCUGAUGCCUUCUUGUGUAAACUACCAGCGAUCUAACUCAUCGGUCAUGUGGUUGUCACAAGAACUGUUUAACUUUUUCAGAAACAUUUGCUUUCUUGCUUUUUAGGCAAGAGUUAAGACAAGUGUUGAAUGGCUGUUUACUCAAUCUGAAGCUACAGCUGGCUUUCGUUUAGUUUAGCCUAGCUUGAAGACAUCUAGCCUGUCCACCUUGCAGAACUGCGGAAACUGUUUGUUAAUCUGACAGUUGAUGUGUAAAGUGGCCAUAUCACAGAUUUACAGGGGGAUUCAUGUGACAGAUUAAAGAUUUAUUGCAGGCUUGUUAAUUAGUAAGCUGACUAAGUGCAGGAAGGCAGUUUCUUUCUUCUUCUUUUUUAAGCUUUGGACAGAGCCACUUAAAUUUGUUCCCUUUUUCCAGUCUGUCGAUUAAGCUGUUAUUUAUAGCCUCAUAUUUGGCUUACAGGCACGAGUAUUUUAGUUUAUCAUUCUUGUCGAAACGACAACAAGAACAAAAACUUAGAUAAACACAAGAUCUGCAGGGUUUUGUGAGAAAAUUCUGAUUACUUUGCAGGAAAAAAGAAAAGAAAAACAUAACGUCUAUAGCUGUGUUUUUGUACGGUGGCCUUGAGAGGUCAAACGUGCUCAAGCUUAAGAAAACGCACAAACCACAGUGGAAGUUGAAUAAAAUACAACAGAAAUAGAAAAGAUGCAGCAAAAGCUAUUUAAAAAUAAAAAGUGACAAGCUAACAGUAAACGGCUAAUAGCAAACACAUAUCUACAGUAUUAUAUGAAUCAUGUGUUUAAACCGCAUAUCGCCUGCAUCUUUUUCUCUCUUGCAACACAGAUGAAUCCUCAAACACCAAAAGUGUUUUGGUUUCUGUUACAUUUGCACCUGGUCCGUCAUGUUAUUGUGUCACAUAAACACUCCUGUUGUAUUUUGUGAGAUUUGAUGUUUUUCUACUUCUUGUCAUGUUUUUUUUUUUUUCUAUAUCCGCUGUGGGUUUCUUUUUUCUAUUUUAGUCAUGUUUCCAUUUGUUGGUGUUUUCUUAACUCACAGUCCGUUUGACCUUUCAGGGCCACCAUAGCUGUGUCCUCUUUGAAACUCUACCAGCUAAUGCUGGUAGCAUAGUUCGUUUGUGAACACACAGCUGUGUAGUUAUUGAGUUCAAUAUGGGGCACAGGUCACUCUUCUUGUUUUCACAUGGAGAGUGUGGUGCUUAUCAUCCAGUGGCCGCCAUGACGCAGUCAGUUGUGGGAGGCAAAUUAGCUUGCUGCAGCUUCUCUUUGCAAACAGUGAGGAGGCAAAGUUCAGGCAUGAAGACCAGGCACCGGUUCCAGCACAGGCUUAAUCAGAUUCAGCCUGUCUCAACAGACACUCUGCAAUGCAGAGAAAUCUGCAUAGUGCUUCUCCUCUGCUUCAAAGGUUGGAUCUCCUAUUAAAUGUGGCCAAACAUCAAAUGAGGUAAUCACAUGUAUAAUUAAUUCCUUUGAGCCAAAAACGUCAGACAGCUGUAAUGCUCAGUUUUGUUUUUUUUACUGUCAGAUGUGUAUGAGGCCAAUGGGAGGGGAUUUCCUUGGUGUUGUAAUCUCUACAGCUCUGGUCUUGAACACAGCUUCAUCACCUAACUGCUCUUCAAACCUUGUUUUUGAUGAGCAGCUAAUUAGAGGAAAGUUGUUUUUUAAAGGGAAGGGAUGGAAGGAAAAGCAGCUUGUUUCAGACAGUGGAUGGACUGAUGGGCUGCACAGCAUAAGGGAAAUGAGAAUUGUUUGGAGAGAUACUCUAGUAAAGCUGUAGCUCCAAA